rnacentral:rRNA from 1 species
AACGAACGCUGGCGGCAGGCCUAACACAUGCAAGUCGAGCGAAGCCUUCGGGCUUAGCGGUGGACGGGUGAGUAACGCGUGGGAACGUGCCCUUUACUACGGAAUAGCCCCGGGAAACUGGGAGUAAUACCGUAUGUGCCCUUCGGGGGAAAGAUUUAUCGGCAAAGGAUCGGCCCGCGUUGGAUUAGGUAGUUGGUGGGGUAAUGGCCUACCAAGCCGACGAUCCAUAGCUGGUUUGAGAGGAUGAUCAGCCACACUGGGACUGAGACACGGCCCAGACUCCUACGGGAGGCAGCAGUGGGGAAUCUUAGACAAUGGGCGGAAGCCUGAUCUAGCCAUGCCGCGUGAUCGAUGAAGGCCUUAGGGUUGUAAAGAUCUUUCAGGUGGGAGGAUAAUGACUGUACCACCAGAAGAAGCCCCGGCUAACUCCGUGCCAGCCGCCGCGGUAACAC